rfam:Picea glauca, whole genome shotgun sequence.
ACGUGCCAACAACAUAGAGUUAAUGUGUCGGAUCCCAUUAGAACUCCACAAUUAAGCGCACUUAGGCUAGAGUAGUACUGGGAUGGGUGACUGCCCAUGAAGUCCUAGUGUUUUACAUGCC